UAUGGAACCUUCUUCUUGAUGCAGGAUGAAUAUGCACAAUGGAUAGUUGCAAAUCAGAGAAGCCUUCUAGAAGUCAUGGCCGAAUUUCCUUCAGCCAAGCUGCCUCUUGGAGUUUUCUUUGCAGCGAUAGCCCCUCGCUUGCAGCCAAGAUAUUAUUCGAUCUCUUCCUCUCCAAAUGAGAUUGAGGAAAGUGAACUCUCUGAUGCAAGCUCAACAAAUUUGAAAGAAGAUAGGUCUUCACCAUCCCUAACUCUGAUCAGAAAGCAGGGAUGGUAUUCAGAUAAAAUUUCAUAUCUAAAAGGAAAAGUGCCUUCCUCGAUAGGAAUUCUAACAUCAGUUGCCCUGCCCUUUGAAGUUUUUGAGAAGGUUUUGUUAGAUGAUUCAAACCAGGUUUGUCUCAUCUCAUCUCAUGUCACUUAAGUGUAUCCAACAUUAAUAGAAUGCUAAUUCUAACAUAUCGACCUUUGAAACCUUUCCAAAAUUAUCAGAAAUGACAGGUGAUUAUCAAGCAAAUGCUAGAUGUGUAUGCCUAGAUGAGGGCUUCGCUUGGUGAGGCAUGCAUUUCGUGACAAAGAGGCAUGCAUAACAAGUGAUUUCUUGUUUAGAAGCCUGAAAUAUAACUUCAUUCGAUCACAAUGCAUCAUUAACAUGAGAGAUGCAUCAGAGUAGACUUCCUUUUUCUCUAUCUAGGGUCCAUGUACACUGGAGUAGACUUCUACAAGUUGUGUGGAGUGUCCAUUAUUCAAAGAUCCUCUAGCACUAAAACUGUUGGAAAGACUUUUGGCAUUUGCACAACAGCCCCUUCUGCACAUGUAUGUAUUUGCUAUUGUAUAAAGAAUGGAAAUGCUUCCUUAACUCUUGUUAAUACGAAAAUGGGGAAAGGGAUAACCUCUCCAACCAGCAAAGAGACAAAACCCUGCUCCAAGACUGAAGGAAAGCACACAAUCCCAUAGCUAGAGGGUCAUGGGUCCAAUCUUCCUGUCAAAUGCCUAAGCUACAUGUCAUUUUAUUCAAUUCCUUAUACAUUUUGAAAAAUAGUAUUUUAUAGAUCAAAUUUUUCCAAAGCUUUAACUAGAUAUGCAUAUCCCUUUCUGUCUUAAGAACUCCUUUUCUGAGGGCUCAAACUUUCCUAUUGAGUCCUCUUACUUUUCAUCUGUAAGUGGUGAAAAUCUGUUCUUUCUUAAACAGUCAUGAGGGGUAUUAUUCAUUUGAUUUAGAUACAAAUGUUGCAACAAAAACACAAGUAUGAAAUCACUACUACUAGAUUUAUGGCUCUAAGUUACAGCUGGAUGGACAUAUUCCACACAUGGAAGCAGACCCGUUCCGAAAGAACCCCAAAUACAUGCAAGGUUCAUGUUAGAUCAUAUUGAGAAUGUUGGAAGUUAUCAAC